rnacentral:lncRNA from 1 species
AGCAGUGUUUGGAAAAAGAAGAAAGCAUAGUUUAAAAAUGACAGCCUUAAACAUAUAAAUAAUUUACUAUUGAGAAUACCAAAGAUGUUAUUUAAUACAAUAGUACAUUACAACAGUGUUUCUAAAAGGACCAUCUUCUGUGGUUAUUUUGUUGAUUUAUUUACAAGUGAUAGCACACAUUUGGUGACUGCCUUAGACAAUACUGGCCACAUUCUGCUAUUGGUUAUGUCAAGCUAACUUUACUGGCUGCAGUGAGGAAGUGUUAGGUUAGUUCAGAAUUUGGUUGCUAACAGCAUGUUGGAACCGAUUCAAAGAACACAGAAAUCUACCAAAUAGCUCCCUUUGAUUUCAAGGGGCUUUAAACUGUUGAAAAAAACCACGAGUUUCUAGGGUACCCAGAAAAAACACUUAUCAGCCUGUAGUGUCUGCAGCCUGCAGUGCCAGCGCUCCUUAUUUCUUUUAUUUGAAAGCUAUCUGUCAUUUAGUAUAGCCUUUUGGAUGGCCGACUAAUCGCUUACAUGAUUUGAGUGAACACACCAAUAUACAAAAAAGGUAAUAGCUUCAGGUGCCUUUGAUAACAAAUAACCCUGUGUUUCACAGUCAGUUUAAUAGGAGAGCUCAAAAUAUUAACUCUCCACAUAAGAAAGAAUCACCGUGGAGGCCCUGAGAUAUUCUGUCUUUGAGCAAAAUCCCCUGGAUAUCAGUGGUGAUUUCACCUGGUUAAGAGUUGGAUCUACGACUACUCAGGCAAUAUCAACAUUUCAAAGCAGACAUCCUUCAGUUCCAUAUUUUGUUAUAGGUUUUACCUGGUAAGUGACCUCUGCAAGUAUAAUAGAAUUCUUUACAAUAGUCUUUGCACAAGUAGGGAAGAGUUAGUUCUCUUUCAGAAGUUUCCCCUUUCUCAGGUGAGUGGAAAAGAUUCUGGGCAUGAGGUGAGCAGUGUGCGCAUUUGAUUUCCUCCAGUAGCUUCGCACAUUCUGUGUUGUUCGUGACAGAAAGUAUCUUGGCCCCGGCGUGCAGCAGCCCCUGCGCGUCGGCGCGGGAGCAGCAGGAGAGGCGCGGGUAGAGGCCGCGGCACAUCGCCUCCGCGCCGCCCGGCGCCUCCGGGGACAGCAGCCGCCGGUCGCGCUUCUUCAGCCGCCGCGGCGGGGUCCCGUUGAGGCACCUUCUCCUCCGCGCGCCGCUCUCCCCGAACUUGGCAUCCCCCUCGAAGAAGCACAGAGCCACGGCCACCAGCAGCAGCUUGAACGGCAGCAUCUUGAGCAUCAUGCCUGAGGGAGCGUGCGAACGCGCCCGAAGGGGGGAGGAGGGGAAUCCCACGGACUUUUCUUUGCACUUCGGGAAAACACCUCCCUCCCUCCCGCGGAGGCUGCGGAACGGGAGCGGAGCGGGCGGCCGGCGGGGAGCGCCGCUCCGAGAGGACGGGCAGAAGCGAGCGGGCGGAGGAUGCUCGGCGGCCGCGGGGCCCCGCGAGCGGCACAGGUUCAGCAGCGGCCGCUGCCGCGCCGAGGCGCCGAGGCUCGGGGCGGGCCGGGCAGCGGGCGACGGCAGCCCUCCACUUGUCGUCCCAUAGGAAGGGUGUCCCCGCGCUGGGACGACGGCGGCGGCGGCGGCGGCCGGGCCGGGCGAUGCCCCCUCCGCUGCCGGCGGCGGCUGCGGCUCACUAGGGCUCUCAUGUUUCGCUCCCUCUUUUCUUCUUCUUUUUAAGCCGCGCGCGGGGAGGUGCUGCCACCGCGCGCCCUGCACGUCACCCGGCGGCACCGGCCGCGCGCGCCUCCCGCGCCGCCGCGGGGGCCCGGCGGGAAGCGGCGCCGCGCCCGGCCUCGCCCCCGGCCCGCGUGCGAGCGGCGCGGGGCCGCGCUCGGCGCGAGCCGCGGGGGCGCGUGAGGAGAGAGAGAGGGGCGCGCGGCGGCGUCGCGCCCCGUAACGGUCGCCCGGCGGCGGCCGUCGGCUCCGGGUCGCCGCUCCGCUUUCGCCCUCGGGGCCGCGGCAGCCGGCCGUCCCCCGGGCACGUGGUCCCCGCUCGUCGGGAAGCGGCGGAGCCCCGCGGUUCCCCGGCGGAAGGCGAGCGCCGUAGGUGGGUGCCGCAGCCUCGACGGGGAGGCGGCCGGAGGGCAGCGCCGGCGUGCGGCCCCGUCGGCGGGCGACGGCCUCGCGCCGCCCCGCUCCGCUCGUCGCCGGCUCCGGCCGGUUCCCAGAGUUCAGGGAACGUUCUGGAUGCGCGUGGUCGAGGCCCGCGCCGACGGCCGAGCUUCGACGGCCGCGGGGAGAGUGUGAAACGAAUUCGAAAUAGCACCGAGCGGUGAAUCGCGGCGGCCGGCCUGUGGCUGCGGCCGCCAGCGGUGGGAGGAAAUGGGGCGAGCGUGCGCCUGAGGUGAUGGGAGACCCGGGCGCGGGCAGAGCGCGGUGCUCGGGGACGGGAGGAGGGGAAACGGGGAGCCCGCGGAGCGUCUGGCCGAGGGAGACGCUGGGGUGCCCCGAAGGGAGGCGGCCCGGAGCCCCGCAGCGCAGAGCCGGGGCGCGGAGAGGAGGUGAGAGAGUCUGCCUGCGGGAACGGGCGUGCUCAGAGCUGCGGUGCAGGUGCAGCCGCGCCGCCGGCGGAGGGAGGAAGGCAGGUGGGCGAACGGGGCCCCCGGGGCUGCUUCCCGGAGCUUCGUGGUGUGCUCUGACGUGGGGAGGGGGAAGUGCCUCGCACCUGAGGAGCCCGUCUGGGGGGAAGAAGGAUUGCAGGGAGGUCCUUGUUUGCGGUAAUGUUUCUGAAGUAACCAGGGCCUGUCACUGUUGUCUUCAUGUUUAUUUCUAAGCAAGGAAAAUGAGCCUCUUCAGAUUGACUUUUGAACUCUUAGGCUUAAACGGUCCACACUGAACUAAAUAGGAAUUUGGCACAGACGAGGAGUACCUCUCAUAAAUCUUGUAGACAUACAAGCUGCUUCUUCUCCCUUUAAGUGCGUUACUUGAAGGCUGGUGGUCCCUUAGCUCACAGCCACCUGACUCUCGUUUGGCUGAAGAUAUUCCUGGCCAAGGCCUGAGCUGCAUCAAGGAUAACAAGAGUGCGCGAAGCCUCUGGUGCAGGGUGUUAAUGGGUGGAGUCAGCGUGGCACCCGUAGGGUUUCACCAGCGCUAGCAAUAGUUUUCUUCUUUGUUGUGUUAGUGGCAGUAUGGGAACUGGUUCCGUGAGCAACCUAGCAGAAGCGAUAUAACUGUUCUACAACAGCUGUGUCGCGUUCAUUUCUCUGGGUUAUUACAUGGGUUAUUCUGAAAUAAAGGUGAUUCUAGUGUAUGAUAACGGAAUAACAGUCUCAGAAUGAAAUCACUUUUACUCCCAGGCAGUCUCACCACGGAGGGUCACACAGGUGGAGCUGUAGAGUCGGAAGUACACAGCUGAAGGCCUGUCUGUUUCUUUCCCUGGGUAGGCAGGUGCUCAUGGUUUUCAAGCAGAUUGUGUACUUUUGCUCCGCUUCUCGCUUAUUGGAAUGGGAAACUGGAACUCGAUGGGAAGCAGUGGCUGUGGGGCAGAUACCCUCUUGAAAAAACAAGUGUUCAGUGAAAAUUUCUGUUGAGCGGUUACAGCCCGGUCCUCGCAGUUCCUGUCUCUCUGGAGGAGAGAGGAAGUGAGGAAUAUAAAUCUAUAUGAUCAAAGUAAUACAGCUAUUAGUAAAUAACCUUUCUUCCUCCUUCAAGUUCUGCCUGCAUAAAUAUCCGUUUCUAUGUAUACCUGUACCAGUUCUCAGAGAAGGUGAAUUUGAGCUGUAUUAAUUAAAUAGAGAAUGAUUUCCCGGGAUGGGAAGCUGCCAAACUAAGAAAGAGCUGACAGUCUGUGAAGGUCAGAUUCUACACAGAAGUUUUGCACAGAUCCAUGCUGAAGACAUUUCCCAGAAAUUCUGUGGAAUGUACUAUUGACCUUGUAUAAUGUGAAGUGCUUGAAACUUUAAGCUCUGUAGCAAUAGAGGGAUAUAAGGAUGUAUAAGCAAGACUUGCAGAGGGUCGAAUGUUUUGUAUAACCCCUAUAUAGAAAUUGCUGAUCUUGGUUUUUUUUGGUUUUUUUUUUCAUGCAAUUUAAUUUUAUGUUCCUUUCCACACUUCAAAAAAGUACACGAUGGCUUCUUUAACAAAGUAUUCUUUUCAAGCUGGUUGAUACAGGAAUUUAUUUAUAAACCUUUUUAAUAAUGCAAAGUUAAGGUCAGUGUUAGAAUAUGACGUUUCAGAGUGUCAACUUCAGGUGACUUUCAACCUCUCAUAAACAGAGAUAAGGGAAUACUUAGGAAGUAGAAACGUAUACAUAGGAAAUAUGGUUAAUAAACACAUCAGUCUUCUAAUGCAACCUGGGUUCUGUCAUGUGAAGUUCAUUACUGGAAAUGAUUGAACGUGAUAAUGCCCUAAGCAGAGAUGAACAAAUUCUGUCAUUUGUUCAGAGUAUGUAGGAUGACAGUGAGGAUCUUUCAGUUACAAUACAGUUACGUGUGUGAGGGUUAGCAAAUUAAAAGGAAGCUAUUGCUGCUACCGUGCUUGAAUGUAGCUGGAUUUCCCUCUAGGUUUGCCCAGGAGAUAAGCAGACCGUACUUAUUGAUACCAUUGCCUUUGUUAACUUUAUUGUUAUCUAUAUCAUUACACAUCAUGGUAUCUGUAUAACAUGAGUGAAAUGUGCCAGGGUACCCUUCAAAGAGCGUAAGGCGAAGACUGUGCAUGCAACUGAACUUACAACUUGUUUUCUUUUUUAAUUUCUGUGGCUCAGCGUUUGAAUUUAAACCAUUGUAAAUAUUUUGCAAGAGAAUUGCAAAAACACACCAAGAAACCUGUUUUAAGAUUUAAAGUUAGUGAAUUCCUUCAUAUUUUGAACAGAAAAGGAAAUACAGCAGCGGCUGUAAUGUCAGUCUGGGGAAGCACAGUUAUCAUAUGAGUUAACCGAUGGGAACGGGAGCUGGGCAAAGGGAUCUCCCCAUUUCCCUGUCAACUGGAUGGAUUGAGACCCAGGAAUCUGGAAAUUUGGAGUGAGAACUUGGGCAGGAAUGUCAGGGUUUGGCAGACCGGGUUUCUGUGCAUCUGGCUUUUUGUUGGGUGAAAGCCUGACUGUCCUGGGAGUCCCAUUAGAAGCGGAGAGUUUGUUCUGGCUCUCGGCUGCAUCACUAGGGCUAGGGUUCCUGUGGCUUCAGAGCAAAGACCUGGAAUAUCAGGAAACCCCGACUCCCGGGCAGUCUCUGUGGCAGGAGUUCCCCACAGCUGUGAACUCUUCAAGUCCAUUUGCUGCUGCAGCUCCUCUGGUAGCGAAGAAGGAAAAUCGCUGGAAUGGUUUCACAAAAGCAUCUUGCGGUUAGUCAGAAGUGUAUAAAACCAUUAUAUUUUUUCCUUAUAUUUUUACUUGUGAUGUAACAGAAUUUUUCAGUUUGGGCAGAACAUUUCUGGUUGGUUCUAUCCGCCAUAUGCUAUAGCCCACAUCAUUUCAUUGGUGUUCAGAAUAAAAUGCUGCUUGUCUUUGCAUACCACAAAUACGAGGUGUGAAAGCUGGUGUAACAUGAAUGAACAGAACUUGCUGGGAUAUUUUUUUAUGGGAAAAUAGAUGCCCAGACAGUCACAGACAAGUUCUUAGGGUAUGUCUUUACCACAGAGUUCCCCUAGGCUCUUAAAAGAAAUCCUCUAAACCAUCUGAAGCCACCUGGACCAUGUGGGACUAUAAACUAAUGUGUCUAGUCUCUAAAGAUGACUUCAAAAAACCCUGAGUUCUUUGUACAAAAGCAGUAUUUGGCUGAAGUGAACUCCGCUUGAUUGGCUCAACAGGGAAUAUGAAUUACGGGUUAUUUUAGCACAUCACCUCAGCUGCUAAUACAAAUCACCAGUUACCUCUGUUCAGUUUUGCAACAUAAGCUAGGCUAACCAGAAGGCAGAUAAAGCAAACCAUUUCAUGAAAGAAUGAGGACUCAAGAGGCCCCUUUGCCUAUGGUCUGCAUACUUUUACUACCUUCUGUAAUUCACCUUAACAGCAUGUCUAUAUGUAUGUGUGUUACAAAGAGACAAAGGAAGCUGCCAUGGGAAAACCUUUCUUUCUUAGCAGGAAGCGUAGUGACCCCACUGCUGAUGGCAGUUUGCUAGCCACGUGUAUGCCAACCCUUGCUCCAGCUUUUGGAGUAUCCUUAAUUCCUCAAGGGACACUUUGUAUACAAAGAUGUAAUCAAGGAAAUGCUGAAAUGCUUUUAAUAGCUAUCACAGGGAUAAAGGUCUUGACAGAACUCAAUAAGGGGCUUAAAUAAUUGUGCCUAAUAUUAUUUGUUGCCUGCCAAGGGCACAGAUAGAAAUCACAGCAUGCCAGUGUUAAAACCAAGCAGUCACAAAACUCUGAAGUGAGCUGCUCAAUGACUGGCAUGUCAGAUAGGACUACACAGAUUUUGUCUGGGGCAGUGUGGUGCAUGUGUAUGUCACAUUUCAUACAUCAAUGUGCAUCAAUUCAUAUUUGAUAUGGGAGAUUUGUUGUUUUUGGAAAUUCUUCAUAGUAGCUUUCGCAUAAUAAAUGGUAAAGCACCACACACUGCAUUGCUGCAGAUAGAACCUAUAUUCAGUUUAAACUGCGCUUCCCAAGUAGUGAAAAACAGUUUUCCCCACAGGUAGAAAUAACGAUGGAAUCAGUAACUAUUUUCACACACUUUCUUAGGAAAAUAUAUAUCUAACUCGUGUAAUUUAGCUUUCAGAAGGAGAUUUAUCUAAUUCAGUAGCAUAAUUUGUCUUUAGGAAAGCAGGAAGUUCAUCUCAAAAAUAUAUGCUUCUAAACACAUCUUUCUCUAAACUACCAUGUCCCUUGGCAUGUGGAGGAAGGUACCAGUGUACCUAGCGGUCAUUCUCAGACACAUGCUAACAGCAUGCUCAAAGUCAGUGUUUUUGGCUCAUCUUAAAGGAUUUCAGAAUGGUGCUGAAACCUGCCUCACACAUCUGAUAUCGUGCAUGCUUCUGGAGGCUCGUGCACUUCUAGGCUUCUUGUCUGUGGCAGCGUAAUACAUGCAUUGUAUCGUCUUUCUAAAGCAAAUUUUACCCUUAAUAACUUUUUCUUUCUUGCUUCCCUGAAGAGUUAUGGGGAGCAUUGUAUUAGCAGCCUAGAUCCUAACUGCAUGAGAGCAGUCUGGAGAGAAUUAAAGCUGAGUCUGAGUCCCACUCAUACAGACAAAGUUGGAAGACACAGGUGGUUUUGUAAACAGCUAAUUGUGAUGAAGACUGAUUUUUGGGAAGUGACUUAGCUUGGUCCGCUUGCCCUCCCUCACAAUCCCAUGAUGCACAGCAGGUUUCAAGUCUGUGGAUCUUAGAUUAUUUACAGUAUUCAACCUUUAACUAGAAAGUGAUGCUUAAGUUAGUUGUAAUUAAAAUGAAACGUAGACAGCAGUUUGGCUAGGAUUUCAGUGUGUGGUCAUAAAGCUACUUUAUGUGCAUGGAGCACUGUCCAGCCAUUAGCUUUUGGAACUCUCUGUUUCUGCAGGCUGAUAUUAUUUUGCCAGGAAUGUGGUCAUCAAAGACAGAUUGGACCGUGUACGUUCUUCUAAACGUUGACAUGAAGACUCCAUUACCUUUAGAGAGAAAUAAAUCUAAGUAGGUGGUAGGUUCACACGCAGGUGGCAAUGUGUGAAUCAUUUCUUUCAUUUAACUGGAAUAUGUAUGAACAAAGAAGAUCCUUGAAUAAAGGUAUAAACUGAUGUGAAUGCCAGAUGAACUUUAAAUGAACUUAAAGUCAAAGCAUAUUUUAAAAAAUAAAUAACCCAGGAUAAGGAGAUACAGUAGUAGAUGCUGGAACUGUUCCUGGACAGGUAUAAUAGAAAACUUCCAGUCUUUGUUGUGUUACUGUGGUAGACUGUAGUUUGCAAAAGAAAAUGCUGCACCUUCUAUGCAUGCUCACAGUCUGGUUCUCUCGAGUUUUCCUGAUGUAGGCAGGCACACAGGACAGGAACCAUAAGACGGCCACAGGUAGAACUGAAGGCUGUAUUACUGCUAGAAACAAAGAGAAAAGAACCAAAAAUGACAUACAUAUGUUAAGAGCAACCAGCAAACUACUUGCUCGUUGAUAUCAAAGUUAUUAAACUUAGAAGAGAACGUUCCUUUGGCCCAACAUGAAAAUAUUCUACAGGGAACCUCAGAGUCCUCUUCCUCGGCAUUAGGUGAACCAGUAUUAUUCAUGUUUAGGUCUCACAUAAUGAUAUUAAAAUAAAUAGUGUAUCGAGAAGAAAAGCACAACAUUAGUAUCCUUCAGUUGUCCAAUUACAAUGUAAUCAGUGGGUUCAGUAUGCGCAUUGAAUCCUAAGCCAUUUCCCGAAGUAGCGAGGAACAGCUGAGAUCUAAUGAUUGAGUUAAGCGCUACCUCCUAACCUCGAGGCAUGCAUUAUAAUCACUAUCAAAUGAACUUUAAGGAUGAGCAGUACUGCUUCAUGGAAUUCAUUACAGGUGUAAGAGAGUCCCUAAUUUCCCAAGGAGUGGUCACCACAGACAAGCAGUUUGAAUGAGGCAAAUAGGCUGUGCUUAACCCUACUGCAGAAGUUCGGUUCUGACUGUGGUAACAACAAGACUUGUGACAACAAGACAAGUGAUUGGUUCUAGCAUUUUGACCUUUCCUAUUCCCCAUAUAAUUUUUUAUAACAGAGCCUGAGUGAUGGUUUAAAACAGCAACAGUAGCUUUCCAGGUUUGGUAAAUAGUUGCAAACUGUUUUCUGUGUCUAAAACUAGAUCAGUAGACAGAGAUCACUCUAAUGGGAUAUAACGACCAAUGGAUUUGCUGUUGACUUCAGUAGAGGUCAGUAACCAGUGCCACUUUUCAGACCUGUCAACUGUAAUGUAUUUUAGUGUGGGAAUUACACGAUUUUCAUAGUUUGCAGGACAACGGACUAUAGUGAGUGAAUUUUUCUAGCCAGUCAGUCAAGUAUAGGUAGGAGUCAAGUGAGUUUCUACAGGCGUUCAACAUUUUUUGGAAAAGCAAGGGUCAGCUGAUUGUUCACAAGGGAAUAAUUCUAGCAGCUGUGUUUUUGUUUGUUUUCAAUAUUAACUAAUCUUUUUCUAGUAUUAAGGCUGAGUUGCUAGCAUUGUACUUUCAGUAGACUGUUUAUGACAAACUUAUCUGAAUAUUUGUAAUGGUGAAAGGCCCUGAGUUCAUCCUGUGCCCCUUCCAGCUUGAAGAAACUGAGGGAUUGUGUGGGCUGCUCUCUGUGGACCUACAUGUUUUUAUAAACCUCACACCAAAUAUUCAGUUCUUCUGGGAGGUUUGUGUAUCGCUCCGCCAAGCAUGGCUUUCCAAAGGGUUUGAACUUUAACAUCAAGGGCACUUGUCUGUCUCAUGAGUAAGUAAUCUGUGCAGACAAAACUUCGGGGAGCACUUCUAAGUGACAGCUGUACAUUCCCUGAGACUGCUGUUGUAACAAGAAAUCAAUGAACUACUCUGGAAAUUGCAGAACUGGAAUUGUUUUGACAUAACUGAGCGGACUGGUAAUAACUGCAGAGUUGCCAGUAGAUGUUUUUUUUUAGGUUAUAGUUUUAAGAAGUUUAAGUAGUCAUUUUUAACAUGAUGGAAAGAAUGUGAUUUCUAGCAGAUGAGGUAGUAAUUAUGGGUUAUCUAUCUUUGUAGUUUGCUACUAGGAGGGAGCCAUAUAAGAUGCACAAAGGGUGCUUCUGUAAAAAAAAAGUUUUGACAGGCAAACAGUCCUUUGCUUCUUUAGUUUCUUACUGAUCUUUAGUUUAGAGAUUUCACAUAUGGGAUUCCGCACUGUAUCUUGAGGUCCACCUACCUACAUCCUUCCUACUACUAGAAUGACACUAAAUUCUGAACAUUAACAUUUAAGUGGACCAGUGAUCAUAUUUUGACAUCACAUUUUAAAGCAUGCCAGAUUCACCUGUUGUGGGGUAGAGCUAAGAUACCCACGUUCCUUUUCUUUGAAGAAAAUAAAAUUCUAUGAAUAAAAAGAAAAUUAGGCUAGCACUGAAAAGUAGAAAAAAAAAGUUAACAAUUCAUGAUAAAAUAGGAAAGGAAAAGGGAAUAAAGAAAUGAAGGUUCUUUCAGACAUGCUUUAUCCUCUCAGCUGUGACUUGUUCCAGAACCCAUGACCCACUGUUCUCUACAUUUAUCAGUUCUCUCUUGAUGAUUCCCUUAUUAUCAUUGUCCUUCUAACCUUGGCCCAAACUUCAUUACUGUAGUAUGACAUAGUGUGAUGUUUUGUUUCUUGUGAGUGCAACGAUCACAUAUAGUAUCUGUUAAGUUAUAUAUCCUUAUGUUCAUUUUUAUACUUCUUGUUAAUAGCAACUGAUAUGGAAAAUUUUCAGUCAUGCAGUGAUAGGAAACUAGAAUUGGCUGGUGCACUACUUAAUUUUGGACAAUUAAGGAAUCUGUUUUCUAGUUAGCUCUGAAACAAAAACCAUUACAAUGUAGUCUGAUUCUUAGUUGAGAAAACCAGUGACCUUACUCUGUUUUAACAUAAAGCAAGAAAAACUUAGACAUCUUAUGCUUUGUCAUAUAGGUUUAAUGCUGCAUCUGUAUAUUCGUAAACAUUUUGGAAUAUCUAUUAUCCAUCCGAUGGAAAAGAAAUGAGUUUCUGUUGGGUCAGUAUAUGUCAGAAGUGAGCAAAUACUCAGAUAUUUCUAUUCAAGUAGUUCAUAAAAAUUCCUUUGUUUUCAUGGCCAUAGUUUUACAUUUCUGAAACAUGUAUAAUAUUCUGCAGCUGCAAUUUCUCAAAUUUGCUUUUCUUGUGGAAAUGAAGCUUUGCUAAGAGCUGAAUUGCUUGAUGCUAUGAUUUUGUUUACAUAUCUUUUGAAGGGAUACAAUUGGAAAUGAUGAUAUCACUGUCUUACAGGUAGCCAACACCCUUGGCUGUGUGAAUUUUGGCUGAGAUGGUGAGGAGUGUUGCCACCCAAGUAUGAUUCCACCGCCAACUCCAUCGAUGUUUCACACUGAGAAUGGGUAAUUAGUUUUCAUUUAAAAACUUUUUGUUGACAAUAAAAAAAUGAAAGUAUCACUAGAGAAUACUACUUGCUGUUGAUUUCAGGUACAAUGUACAUCUAAAUUAAUUUUAUUUUCAUACGGUGGUUUGGCUGAAACUGAAUCAGCUAGCUUUUGAAAUGAUUACAGUGUUAAUGCUGGAAUGAGGCACAAAAUUAAAUAGAAGGCUGCAUACAAUUAUUCUCACAGCCUUUAUUAUCUACAUCAUAUCAAUAUAUUUCUGGCCUUCUGUUUUAAGGCCCUUGGAACUGAAUUUGCCAUCUGUAUUUUACAGUUAUUUAUAUGUUGUUCUGCAUAGUAGCAAUCAAUCUUUUAUUUUGUCAUCUAAUUGAUAUUACAGUAAUCAGUAGAGUAGUAUUAGAGGAAACUUUGAAGAAACAGUGGAAGUAUAGAGGUUAAAGGAGUAACACUGAUUAGAGUGGUGUUGUAUAUGGAGAACGUACAUACCUUCUCUUGUUACUAAGUUAAACAUAUGUAGGUGGUAAUUGAGACUUGUUGAAUUAGAGUGCGAAAGCUCAGCUACAGACAUAUUCAGAAUGGUAAUUUCUUUUGUUCUAUGAAUAACUCUUAAGUAAAUGAGCAAAGAUCACAUGCAGUGAAAAGAAGGAGAUAAUAAAAUAAUACAUUACUUAUUCUUGUCUAAAUCCUAACAUGAUUUAUAAAUUUGGGAAAAGAAAGCAUAUUCCUUUACAUUUCUAAGAGACUGAAAUUCUUUAAGUUACAGAAAAACUGAAAGAUCCUAAGCUUUGGAAGUGUUGAUAGUACAAACAUAAAAAGAACUAAAAAUAGCUGGGCUUCACUGAAACUACUGGCACUUUUAGUAAAACCUGUAGUAGAGACAGAAUUUUUUCCUGGGUAUGUGAGGCAUGGAAAAUCUGUGACAGGACUUCCUGGGAUCCUUUUCUGGUCAUAUUCAAAAUCCUUUUCAGAAAGAGAACAGGAACUCAUCAGCUGUUCAAAACAGUCAUGUCUCUGUUGAUUUCAGUUGUAGUAACUUCUACUACCUAAGAAUCUGCCCCAGGAACUUUCUAGAAAGACACUUCAGUGCUAUUUUAUUUGAAAGGCUAAAAAGUACUCGUGAAACAAAGAUCGCCUUGUGCUCUAUCCUGUGCAUUAUUGUUUCAGAAUAUUGAAGUAUAGUGGUAUUGCAAAAUUCAUAAAGGUAAUAUAGUUUAAUCCUGUUAACCAAAGUGGAAUCCAGUUUCUAUCCAUCAUCUUCGAUGGUCUUACAAUAUCCUCUUUGCUAACCAGACUUUCUUGCACUGAAUUACUGUACUCAUUAUUUAAAUCCCAUUAAUUACUUUAAUCCCUAAAAUUACUUUACUUUAAAUUUAGAAAUACUACUAUUACUAGGAAAUAGCAAAUGAGCUAGAAAAAUAUGGCAUCCUUUUCAGAAUAUACUUUUAGCACUGGUACUUAAAAAAUGGAACCUAGUGCUGUUCCACUUGCAAACUUAAGAGCUUUGGCACACAAGCAUGGUCACUGAGAGAUAAUGAUCACUAUCAUUUCCAUGGUAUCACUUCAGAUACAGCCACCUAACAAAGUGACUUAAAGAUACCGUGGAAAUAGUUAGGAAUUUGACUGUAUUGCUGGCUGUAACUGCAGGGAGAGUUCAACAAAUCAAAAUAGCUCCAAAGUGAUCCUUCUCCAAUUUGCUGUCCCUAAUGCUUCACAUUCCAUAUAGCCUGCAGGAGAGGAAUAUCUUCUUUUUUUUUUUUUUCACCCUAAGAAAGAAGUGUUGCUCAGCAGAGUUCACUUUGCAGGGUAGGAAGACUUUAAGGCUUCUAGCUGCUGCAAAAACAUGUGCUGAAUAUAUUGUUUUGGUUGGUAGUUUAAGUAUCCUAGCAAGUCCUACUUAGUAAUCUGUCUGAUAAGGCUUGAUUGUGCUUCACUGUGUUUAAAUUUUUGGGGAAACUGUUUAGAUAACAGAAGUGCUCCAGUGCUUGCAUUUGUGUAAAACUCCAAAAUUAGAAAAUGCAGAAUUCUGUAGCUGAAGGUCUCAGAUAAGUGAAAUACCAAAAGCAGUAGCAUAUUGUGAUAUUUUAUUCAAUAUCUCAGCAUUAGCUUCAGUGGUACCUUGCUUAAGUAGUGUGUUUUAUCUGUAUUUUUGUUGGUUGAGUUUCAUAGUACUUUGCAGUAGGAGAAUCUACAUAAGGAAAAGGUCAUGUGUAGAUCAUCUAAGUUUUCUCUUAAUGAUACUGGAUUGUGCUCUGUAUUUUUGAGAGAUUCUGACUUUUCCAGCUUUAAACGCUAAUAUCAAGUCAUAGGUGGUGAUAUUUCUAUUAUUUGGCAUUAAAUUUUCAUUAAAUAAUAUGUAUUGAAAAUAGUGUGUUCUCAGAGACGGACAGCAUCCCAUAUCCGUAUGGAAAAUAAUCUGCUUUAAAUCCUAAGAACUUUUACUGGGUAACUAGUAAACUGUUUAUUACUGCUGUUAUGCAGUCAUUUUCUCUUCUCUAACUGCACUCAUUUAUACAGUGCAAGUGAUAGAAUAUAGAUGUCCACUUUCUAUUCAGUCCAAGUCUCAGUAUCGCAAAGCUGUUACUUCAAGGAAGAACAGUUUAAGCUAUAGACCAUAGCCGUUGUAACAAUGAAUGGAUUCCAAAGGAGACUACAGGAAUCUUGUUAAAGUUAACAUUUCAGACUUUCUAAAUCCUGUACCCUGGACACAUUCCUUUACCUUUCAUUGAAGAUAUCCAUGUGUGGUUCCAGUGAUAGCAUUGUUGUAAAUGCGGUUGUUCAGACUGUUUUGUUUACAUAAAACUCUUCCUUUCCCCCCCUGCCCCAACGUUGUUUUCACUGUUCACAGUGUUUUUACUUAAAUCCAUCAUUUUGAUAAUUUUAACGGGACAAUUCUAUUUCAUGUACUUAUGGCACUUCAUGUGAAACAGUUCUGCCUUCAUUUCCUGUUUAUUUUUAGAUGUUAAUUUUCAGACUUUUUCCAUCCCCUUGGGUUUUUUAAAAUCCUGUUUGGUACAAACCAGGGUGGUCCAACUGGCAGCCCAAGGAACAAUUCCAUCUGGCCUGCUGCAUUUGCCAAGGAGGAGCUAGGAAAUGCCUGUAAGGGCACGCACUGCCCUCACAAGCAAAUAUUACCUAUUGCUCAGAUACUUAACCGUGCUUAAAGCCCAACUGUUGUGCCUUGUCCAUCCAGAAAAAGAGGCUGAGACUAGUCUUACCCUUUUUCUUGAGCUCAGCCAAAUGUCUGGAGGGGCUAGCUACACUUUCAAAACAAUCUUCAAGGGGGGUGUUUCAAGUGGAAAAUUGCACCUGUCCUGAAAAAUCGUGGGCUACUGUUGUUUUUCUGGUUAGAUUGACAGAAAACUCUGCUUAAUUCUCAGAUCAGUUGGAGCUAGUUAGAAUUUUAAUAUCAACCUUAGCAAAACUGGUAUUAUUCAUUCAUGGUAUCUUUGCUGGCUUUGCAUUUGUUUUCUGUAUGUGCUUUCCGGCAUUUCACUCUUUUUCCCUUAUUCAGCUUAUCAUAAUGAUUAUCAAGCUCUGUCCACUGAAAUCACUGUGAGAACCAACUAUUUUUUGUGUAACUGAUUAUAUAACUUCAAAGGAUUUCAUUUGACUGCUGUGUACUUAUUUCUUUGUUGGAUAAUAUUCUACCUUUAGAGGUACUGGGGUGCCAUACUUGAAAUGAGUGCAUCUGCCAGCAUGCAGUUUCUCUCAAGGAGUCAUCACAGAAGCUGAACUUAUCCUAUGUAUUUAUCCAUUAUGUUUAACAUUAGCUCCCAAUCUAUAAGAAAACGAGCAAUACUAAGCAUAAGCUCUAACCAGUGCCUCAUAAAACAGUAAUAUCACAUAUUUUGUUGUGUAUUCCACCUCCAUUAAAAAUAAUUAUAACAAUUAGGUGGAAUGAAGCAGACUACAGCUUGGUAAAAGACUGCAAUAAGCAGAUACCAUUUACUAUUACCACGUAUCUUUGAGUGAUGACAGCAGAACUCUGCCAGUUUCGGUAUCCUUAUUCAAAGCACUGUUGCACAUGGAAUUAUCAAACAUGUAAGAGAAAUGUACAAAAUAUAACACAGCAUAUACAUUUUAUGCUAAUGGCUUUUAGCAUCCUACUACCUUUUAAAUUGUAGAACAAUAUUGGAUUAAUGUUUGUAACUCAGAAGCCCUUUCCUGUUUAGAGCGUUCAACAACACAACUGCUCUAUUCAGUCUGCGCUCAUUUAUUUUAAAAUAUUUCUUUUUGUUUAUUGUUCUUGGUCCUCCACUCUGGUCUGUAGUGUUCCCCAUUUGUUCCCCAUUAUACUCUGCAUCUCCAAUUUUGGUUAAAAAACCGCCAUGUAUUUCUGAUACAGAUCAUCUUGCCAGGGCUUCUUUUUGGUCUUCAUUAAUCUCCCUUGUUUUCUCUCUCCUCUUUGUCUUUUCUUUCUUAUUGUCUUGUGUCUCACUCUUUUUGCUAUCUAUAGCUAGGAUGUCUUUCCUUACGUCUUUCUUUCCUUUUCCUUCUUUUUCCAUUUAAUGCUCAGCUGUUUUUUUAAUACUGGUUUUCCUCCAUCUUCUUUUGGUGUUCCAUUUCUUCUCUCUGAUUUUCUCUCUGUAUCUUUCAGUCUUUUUUCUUUAUCUUUCUGUCCUAUUCAGUUUGCUUUCUGUCCUGCAUGCCUGAUUGUUUCCCUUUCUCUUCCUUAAUAUUGUCUAUCAUCUGAAAGAUGACUGAUAAUGACAGAAAAGAGGAAAGGAAGACAACAGCUGAAGGAAUUAAGGCAUGAAGUAACUUUCAGAGAAGGCUUUUUUUUCAGGAACAAAUAAUUGAAUGAAAUCAUCAAAUAAGAACAGAAACAAACAAACAAAAAAGACUAAAUUGCUUAUGGCUGAUUAUUCAUUAGUGAAUGGAGUUUACUUGAAAAUUGUGGUUGAUGAUGUUGUAGGACUAUGUGACAGCUUGCUUAAAAGUAUAAAAAGCGUAAGUAGAGGCAAAAAAAAGUAGCCAUAACAUAGUCAUAGGGUGCAUCUAGUGAUGUUCAUAGAAAAGGUAGGAUAAGGAUAGGCUAGUGAAAGAAAUAAAUACAGAAAUAAGACCAGGAGACUAUGCAGUCAUACACUAAGUAUGAAAAGAUGGUGAAUCAGAGGCAAUAAAGACUUACAUCAAGUAUUUGGAGCAAGUUGAAAAACAGAAAAAGUAGCAUGGAACUGAGAACAAGCAGUGAUUAUUCUGCUACAUAAGAUGGAAAAACAGGAACAGUGGAAAUGGCAGCAGAACCAGCCUACUGAGGGUACCAGACACACUGUUCAUUAAAGUAAUUUCAAACAGGAUGCAAAACUAUCUCGAUAAGACAGUGAUGCACUAGGAAACGAGUGGUUUUUAAAGGGUGUGGUGCAUUCUGAUUAAAUGGUCCCUUGACUAGAUUGUAGAAAGUGAUCGGUUAGAAGAAUUUAGGUCAUACUUACCCAUCAGAUGGUGGUUACUCAGUAUUUUUAAAUUGUACUGGUGAACUGUCCAAAUUUUUUGUCUCGAUUCUGUUACUUGUAUUCAUGUUUUCUGAACAAAAAUGUAUUUUCAGAGUUUUUACCCUGAUUUAGGGAAAUCACUGCCACAAGCAGAGUGUAGCAGGUCACUGGCGUAACUGGAAUAACAGUCCUGUAAAAAUGUAACAAGUUUUUCAGGGGCAGUAUGUGCAAGAAAUCAUUUUUUCAAUAUAUAUGUUCAUUCCUGCUGCUUCUACAGCAUUUCUAAAAUGCUUGUCUUGCCUCUGUGGCUACCAAAGAUUAUCAUAAAGUGGUGUGCAUUAUCACAGUAUGUUGCUUGGUGAAAACUUGAGAGAAACACCAGUGAAUCAUCUAUAGUUUACCAGUACAGUGAAUAAUUUGAUGGCAUUACCUUUGUGGCCAGAAUGUUUUCUAGCUUGGAAGUCUCAUUUCCUGGAAAAAUUAUCCAAGGAAAAGGUAUCAGAUACCCGAGUACCAUGAGUUUCCUUAAACAAAUGUGAAAGAAGCGUAUCCUUAAUUAAAACAUAAGCAAAGUAUGCAACAUUUAACCGAAAACCCAACAUAAAGGCAAAGUUGGAUAGAACAGAAGACAACACAAAGUACUUUAGUGUACUCUCGUUGUGCUAAAGAAAUCUCACCAGCGUCUGUGGGACAUGCGCGUACGGAAUGAAGAGUAAGAGAUGUAUAAUAUGUUAUUUGUUUUCAAUUAUUGUCUUGGAGAAGAGAAAAAUAAAGUAGAUUAAAAACAUUUCAUUAAAAAAGAAUACUGAAGAACAUUUUAUCUGGAAAAUGAUUACAUACUGCAGAUUGAUUACAGUAGUGUUAUUUUAAUGUGUGAAUGAUUCAUUUUUAUAGCAAUUUGAAGAUGAGAAAGGAAAAAGAACAGGCAGUGCUGUACUUUAAAUAGUUAUGGGCACUCAACCUGCAGUCCUGCCAGUUGCAGUAAGUAUAAGCAAUCUCAGUGUCUGACUGAACAGUGCAUAUAUAUCCCUUAUUACUACAGAUACACCCAAACAAUUUUCAUGACCUGUGAAUCUGUUCAAGGCAACAGACGCUUGACUGGGAGCCCUUUGAUUUUCAUGUUCUUCUGGCUCAUUCCCUGCUAUGCAUUAACUUUUCUUUGUAGGUAUAUAGGAGUGAAAAUUAUACCAACAUGGUGUUAAAAGCUUUUUUUUACAGAUAUACAAGAGAACAGAAAAGAUGAGCAAAAUGCCGACUUCUCUUUUAAAUUUUGUUGUGUUUUUCGUUUGUUUGUUUUCUUUGUGUUACUUCUAUUGCAUAUGGUUGCAGUAAAGAAACGAAGGGGAUUAUCUCCCUCAAGUGAAGCAGAUGUUUUACUGAGCCAAGUCUGAAAUCUUGUUCUUUGUAAGGAAGCAAGAGAGAAUGCCUAUUUAUGGUAUUUUGCAGCUGCACUGAAGGAAAUAUUCCCUUCAGAUUGUGUUGAGUGGUUCCAUAGUACACAACGUUUGUGGUCCCUCAGUUGAGCCAAGAGCCAUGUAAGCUACUUCUAUUCAGACUGGACCUUAAGGAUCUGAUCCUCAGACACGAAGACAGUCCUUCACAAAUUUAUCACUCAGUGAAUUCAAGAUUUUCUACAAUAAACAGAAUUUGCUCCUGUCCUAGUGACAUGCGUUGCUGACUCAUUGCUAGUUGAUCUUUUCAAGUAUAACUCUCUGUGUUCAAGGAGUUACAAAGAUCUCACAAGCUUUCUACAAGAGACAGUGAGAACUGUAGUCCAUAACGUAUCUCCAAAGCUAUUUGCAUUGAAACAUGUGAAUCAUGGCCCAGUUUUGUGUUUUUGUGCAGCAUGUUAUGGUGGAGGUCCAAGAGGUAAGGGUUUGUCUGCUUCCAAACUGUAUGUGCAGAAAAGCGACAGUAUUUGAGGACACUGUUGUCUUGACUACUUCGGAACUGUCUCCCAUCAGUGGAUGUGAGAACUGGGGAUGUUUUGCUCCCUUUCUGUUUCUGUAGCCCUACAACCUGGUUCCUAGCAUACAGCUGUUAUUUACAGAAAUAUCAAUAAAUUCUGGAUGGCAAGUUCAGUAAGUUAAUUAAUUCAGGAAACUUUUAUCUUCUUGGCCUAUUGAGCAGUAGGAUGGUUUGGCCCAGAGGGAGCAGUGUUUGUCAUUCAGAGCAAGCCUGUCUAUCCCUAUAUGGUACUGUGUUGCUCCAGUUAAAUAUACCUCAACUGAGUUGACAACGCAGCAUAACUUCUUGGUUGCAUAAUGUUUGCCCCGAUUGCUUUGUGUGUGACCUCUCUAGCCAAACCCUGCCUUGAGUAGCUAAUUUCCAUGUGGGAUUUUCUGUGUGAUUAUUACUGUAUUAAAUGAGUUCUCUGCAAACAAGAAAUAAUUUAUUUUGCGAAAUGAGCUGCUAUGUCUCCACAGAAAUAUGUGUGUACUUGAAACACUGAAAGAGCAAAUCCUGCUUUUUCAAGAAUGUCCAGUCCUCAGAAUUUAGGAGACUUUUGGUCUGACUGCUUAUAUGGUUUGGAGCUGUUUAUAGAGCUUGAAGUGUGAAGGAAAAAAAAAAUAAAAAAGAAAAACUCUUGUUGACUUCUGUUGCCGUUGUAAGAAUUCAGGUCUUCUGGCAGACUUCAGAGACAGAACACAGUUCCAAUAAGGCAGCCUUCCAUUCCAUUUUUGAGACCUUUCUUUUCUUGUCUCUCACCUCUCGCUUGAACAGUCUAUUGCCUCAUCAGUUAUAGUGCUGAUCCUUCCCCUUCGAUCUCCUCUUGCAUGGCUGAAGAUGGACUUUUAAAUUGACAUUCAGGUGACAGAACUGAUCUUUGAUUUUCUUGGUCCUUCCAGUGCACCAUUUGCUUCCUGGAGCAAGUAAGGCUAAUGUCUAAGCCUAAACCUUAAUCAUUCCAUAAACACUAUGAUAACUGAACAAACCAGGAUGGUUAUAUUAAUGUAAAAGAGAUUAAAUAUAGUCAUUAUGCAUGCAGGAAGAAGUUAAAGGUUGCACAGGUGAAUAAUACUGAUAUGUACUGAAUUUUGAGUAAGACUUUGUAGCAUGUUUCAUUCUUUAUACAGAUGUUAAUGGACCAUCCUGUCUUAAAAGGUAACAUAAAGUAAACAAAAUAAGAUGUUCCUGAAAAGCAGUUGUCAUUAGGUAGAACGAAAUAGACUGCUACAUUGGUAUUAAUGGAGAUUUCACAUACCUAUAGCACAGAUUCUUGCAUAUCUCCAGAUGGAGUAUCUGGCACCAGCCAUAAGCUGUCAUCUCUUUCGUGGGUUGGCCACAGCAUGGAGAAGAUACAUUCAGUUUAGCAGUGACUUUCCCUGCCAUGUACCUACAGCAGAGGGGUGUUGAAAACUGAGAACUGUGUGUCCUGUAACUGUGUGUCCUAUUCCAGGUUCUUGUGGGAAGCAGUUCUUCUAAUUUUCUGCACGCUUUUCCCACCGAUUUGCCACUUCUGUCCUUGUCCAUUAGUGUAUCACACAUGGCCAGCAAUCUUUUCUGGUAGCCCUUUGUCUGCUGUCAGACCUUCCCAUCCACACAGAUUCUCUUUUCACUCACUUUUUUUAUGAGCACUGUGUCUUCCAAACCAAGCGAUUCUUUCUCUGAGCUGUGUGUACAACAGGAGGAACAUUGAGAACAGAGGAAGACUGUUCGCCUCUUUUCUGUUCCAGUGCCCAGUUCCAUAAUUGUUUCUGGCAGCUAUGAGGAGCUGUUGCAAGAAAAAGCUCUGUUCAGUUCUGGAAGACAAAAUGUGAAAGCAGACUCCAUAAGGAAUGUUGCUUGAUACCCUGUAACAAGCUUUUAUUGAGCACGUGCAAACUCUUACUAUUUAUCGGAAGUUUAUAGCUUGUCCAAACAGGGUGAGAUUGCAUAGUGACAGUGAAAAGCACCCUGCCAAAUUUUAAGUCCUUUCUUCAAAGAAUGAAGGUUGAAGACCCUCUCAGUGAAACAACUGUAAGAACUUUUAACACAGGCAGAACUGUGUAAUUUAGCAUCUUUAUUGCUUUUAAAGAACUGAGGUUAAAACCAUAAAAUCAGUAAUGUAGUGGCAUACAUGUUUAGAAGACUUCUAGAGGCAGCAUCAUUUGACUAAUAUUGUAGAAAGUCACAGAUUCAUCCACAGGACAGGAGUUACUAGAAAAACAAAGUACCUAUUUUCUAGAAAAAAAAAAAAAACCAGGAAAUUUUUAAUGUGUAUCUGACUCCACAUGAAAUAAAAUUCAUCAGACCAUCUGAUAUAAAAUUAACAGUUUUCUGAUAACUGCUAGCUUGGUCUCAUUAAAAAAAGAAUAGAAAAGGAAUGACUUGAUCUGCUGAUCAGUAAAUAUAACUAUGCAUUCUUACAUACCAAUAGGACCACUUUGUGUUCCUUGACAACUCUUUGGGGAUUUACAGUUUGGUCAGCUUCGGUAUCUGCAGAGAAUGCAUUAUAUCCUGAGUGGAAAGCUGCUCCUUCCUCAGGAGAGUCAUGUAGCACUUAAAUAUUGGUUAAUCCUUGGAGUGGUUGGAGUCUGUUCUGGAAGCCUUCUCUGACAGUUUGGCUUAUUGAGGAAUAUUGUGAAAGAAUUUUGAAGGGAACAGAAUUCCCCAUUUGAUUAAUAGCUGGGGGGGACUGAAUGGAUGAAUUAUCUUGUCUCUUCUGCUGGCUGUUCUGAAACCAGACUGUCAUUCAAGAAGAGACAACGAAGCCAAGUCACCUACCUAGGACAGGCUGAAGUGGCAAGAGCAUUACCUCAUCUUCUCUUUCUUCUAGUUACAGUAGGUCUAAAAUGUAUAAAGGAUGGGGAGUGAAGAUUCCUGAACUCUUUGCCAGCGUAUGACCCUGGAUUUUUUCUCACACCUGAUUUAAAUUAUCUGUAUCAUUGAUCAGUGUCACGGAGUUAUCUAGAUAGAUCUAUGCCUGUGAUAGGGGGGCAGUAGGCUCGCAGGCCCCCCUCGCUUCCCAAGAAAAAAUGGAGCAGCGGCAACGAUCUAAGGAGAACUUAUUUUACUAACUACGAUGUUGGAAUGCAAGAUGACACAAUAUAAUACAAUCUAAUUGGGAGUAAGGAUAAUAAAUCAAAUGAAAUGAGAGAGAGCAAAAGAGCAAUAGAGAGAGAGAGAGUGAGAGAGUUUCCGAAACCAAAAGCUCUACCUGAUGAAGGCGCAUGGCUUGGAAGCACACCCACUCCUCUCCCUGGCAGCAAGCGAAAGUGAAAAAGACUGCACGCAACCAGAUGACAUAUCUUUUGUGAUGUAUCUUCCUUCUCUGACUGUGAGGUCCUCUGGGAUACGUAGUUCUUCUCUUUUGUCCAUGAUGUUAUGAUGUGGAAUACCAAUAGCAAAGUUACAAAACCAUGAGAAUCAGAAUGAGGGUAUCAAGUGCACCCUCAGUAAAUUCGCAGAUUGUAACAAGUUAGGCAGGACUGUUGAUCUGCUUGAGGGUAGGAAGGUUUUGCAGAGGGAUCUGAAUGUAAAUUAGGUUACAGUUUGCUGUCAAGAUUAUUUGGAUAAUCGGAUGUCUCGCUUUCUAAGGUCCUUAAGGAAAUGCAUAAUUUUAGUUUGUCUACCAUUCAUGAGAUUAUUCUUCUUUUUCUGUUUGAUUUUGAAAUGUUUUUAGUGAGUUGAACUAUUCAAUUUGAGGUGAAAUCUGAGCUGGAUGGAAUUAAAUCCAGAUUCUGAUGACUAGCAGCAACAAUCUGUGAAUUACAGGCAUAUAUGUUUAAUAUCUCCCUUGAGAGUAGGAAAGUUCUUCAGAUGUUGAAACUGGCUUAAAUAAUUUAAAUUAAUAAGACUGGUGGAAAUUCUUUGGCUAAUAAUGCUAGUCUGAUUUCUUCAUUUCCAUUUGAAAAUAGAAUAUUUGUAAUAGCUGUUAAUAGUGUGUUGAUUUAUUUGACUCUGUUACUCAAGGGCAUGGUUUGUGUCCCUAUACUUCCAUGUUAGAACCAAUGAGAUUAAUAUUAUCAAAUUACUUAAAAAUACAUGUAUUUCUGUAAAGCAUACAUAAUAUAAAAAAUACAUAUAUAUUCUGUCAAGCAUACAUAAUACAAAAUACAUAUAUUUUCUGUCAAUAUGGUUUUUUAUGUUCCUGUUUUUGCUUGGUGUAGUAAGACUAAGCAGAAUGCCUGGCUAUUCUUUGCUUUGUUUCUGUGAAAGAUGGGGGGAAUGAUACAGCUGAUAUCAUCAUAUUAUUGUCAUUGUUAUUAUUAUUAUUGCUAUUAUUACCUUGGCUGGAAAUGCUGAUUCAUUGACACUUUCACUGGGAAUAAGGAGGAGAGAAUAGAUGAAUGAAAAAUUGAAUGGGGCACUGUGACUGCUUUGCAGAAGGCCAAGUUUCAAAUCCCUCUCUGACUCUAAAAUAAAGGCAGACAGGAAUGCUUUUAUUGGUAUUACUGAGUCUCUCCUUGCUCUUAUUUUAUGGAGAAGCUUUGAAAUUUCUGGGGUUAAUUCUAAUGUGGAACAGAAAUAUUUUUGAGAUUUCAAAGUUUCACAGGAAAGGAACGAUUUACCACUUAGCUACAGUGUCAACAAUUAGCAUGAAGUAAAACAAUUGUCAGUACCAUUCAUUCUGUCUUUUCUUGUCCAUGUUUAAAAUUUCUUAUUCUUAUCCACAAAAUAUCCAGGUUAUUGGUAGAAGAGUGCUUCUGUUUGCUUCACAAAAAUGGAGCUAUUUAGUCUCAUGAUAACAGAAUUUUUAGGAGUAAGUGCAAUAUUACAACAUAAAAACUGCUUGUUAGCAUGGAUCGUACAUUAAGCUUUCAUCUCAUUUUUCCUUAGAUUCAUCCAUUUUCUUCCUUCAUGAUUUCAAGUCCUAAUAUGUCUGUACUUCAGCAUUUGUAGGUCAUUGCUACUUAUCUCCUUGCAUACAGAAAUAAGCAGCAUUAUAUUACACCCACAUUUCUUUCCAGUGGUUUUCAUUCAUUACAAGUUCUGUUAUAACUUGGUUUGGGAUUUCCUGUGAUCCCCUGCACUACCCCAUCAACCCUCCUUGACUUUAUUUAUAUCCUCUUCCUUUAGUCAAACAGAGAUGAGGUCUUUCUCUUCUGUCAUACUGUUAAGCCACAUAGCUAUGAGUUUGUUCUACUUUAGUGAACUUCUUCAGUCUCUUCCUCACCAUCUGUUUUCUAAUGCUGCCAAACCCAACAUUUCCUUUCUUUUCAAAGCAGUUUUUCAACUUUUUCAUUAAUGCCAUCAUGUUUAAUAUUUAGCCUCAUAAAAUAUUCUGAAUUACUGUUAAGAGGCGCUACAAAAUAGAAGAUACGUCAUUGUAUUUUACUGUACAAAGGAGGAGUUGUGAGGAACUUGCCCCAGUUUUAAUGGUGAUAAUGCAGUAAUAACACCACUGUUACAUACUGUAUGGGAAAAAUAGUGCUUAGUGUAUUUAUAAACUGUGAGUGUGCAAUCCAGAUAUCAGGACUGCUCGCUUAGGAUCUCCAAGUCGAAAUAGAAUUCAUUUUGUGAUUUUAUAGUAACAGCAACAUGGCAAUGGCUGCUAAAUCAAGAAGUCUUGUUAAAAUCCGAGAGGACCAGGCACGUGCAGAUUUAACCUGUACAUUCAUUGCAAUAUAGGGGUACCCAAAUACCUGAAUAAGUAAGAAAGUUUAACUUCUGCAGGAACUCUUGCUUGGAAAACAUGAAUUUACAGAACAGAAUCAGUUGUUGUGUUCCUGAGUGGCCAUACAGCAGGAUGGUUUUUUGUAGCUGGCUCAAAGGUCUCUGCCCUCCUGUUUUGGUUUUUUUUGUUUGUUUGUUUUCUGUAAUGUGAAUUACACACCAGUCCUAAAUGUUUCUUUAUUGCUGUGUAAAAAAAUAAUGCAUUUGAAGAUUACCUCCAGAAGAGGUAUAGUAAAUAGGUAGAAUUUAAAGCACAUUAUACUUUAUUGCAUGUUGUCAUCAGUAAAAAGUCAGGGACGCUUUAAAAAAUAGAGUUAAUCAGAUACAGAAACUGUUAAGUAAAACAAUUUUUAUGAGUCCCUCAUAAGGCAUAGCUAGGAGAAAACUUCUAGCUUGCAAUGUUGCAUACUUUGUCAGUUAUCAAAGAGAAACAAAAUCAAAUUUAGCUCGUGGGAAGCAUGACUCUUGACAUUCAAACCUUUAGAAGCUCCUGCCCUGUAAGUGAUUAUUUUUCUGCUCAUUUUCUAUAGCUAAAAAUAGAGUAUGGUAGGGUCACUGGUUGGUAAGUAAUUUGAGAAUGAAUUUUCAUGUCUUAUAAUGUCAUAUAUGAUUUAUGUUACAGUCUUUAGUUAGCUACUUAAGGCUGCUUAGUAGCAAAACUGCUUUUAAUAAAUAUGACAGAGACCAUCACCUUCUGAAAAGGCAGCAUGUGUCAUUGAAAUAAAGGCAGUCAUACAAUAGCUUUAGAAGAGGAGAGCCAUGGCUGAACAAGCAGCUUUACUGUUCUUUUGUGUUAGACCACCUCAGGGAGUAAGGAGUAAGUUUAGUUUAUUGCCUUAGUUUAGCUUUUGGUUUAGUUCUAAACUGAAAUUUUCUGGCAGCAAGCUGGAAUGGGUUCUUAAUAGGGUAGUAUUCCAGAAAGUGCAAUAGUACAAAUGCUGUCAAAUGUUGGCAGCGUACAAAAUGCAGUAGGCACAAAUUUAUUUGUCCCUCUCUUUGUUGUAAUGUUUGAAUGUGCAGGUACAUGAAUAUAUGAGACUACAUGUAUAAAACCUAGCAUAUAUGCAUGGGUUUGAAAAGAGUUGUGUUAAUAUGCAUGGCAGAUAACUUCACUGAACUCAAAGCAGAUUUGCAAUGUGAAGCAGUGUAAGAAAAGAGUCAAACCUCGUGUGUAUCAAGGACAUAGGUCAAAUUCAAUUUUAUUGUAAGAGAAAUCACAUAUAAUUGUAGACACAUAAACACACAAACUGUAUUAAAGGAACAUUGUCAAUGUUAUCAAAUUCAGCAGUCAAAUGGCAGGGCUUAAUAUAUUAGCAUGACCUGUGCAGCUGGAUUUGAACUUCUGUGUAUGCACCAUGUUUAAUUACAUGACCACACACAUUCUGUUUGACAGUGCUCAGAACAGGCAAACACGUACUAAGGCAUGACUUCUGCUGUUGUAGGCAAGCUGAUAAUACUGCAUAUUGCAAAAGUUGCUCAGUAUAAACUAUGCCAAAAUGCUGCUUUCAGUUAUGUUCUUCUUUAGAUAAUAACCUUGAACAGAACUCCUGCUUUGUACGUAUACAUCCCUGCACUGUUUUAAGCUGGAGUGGAUCUAGGUCCAGACUGGAGCAAAUCAGGGAAUCUGUGGCAUGUGCUCUUUCUUACGCCCAGGAAACAAGGAAGAGGGGUUGUCCUUCUGGAAUGCAGAGGGAAAUAAAGGCAAACAUAUAUAAAGAAGUGUAUUUAAAUUGAAGGAACAAACUGGGACAAGAGAAGAGAGGAAUGGACAGUAGGGAUAACAGAACUGUGCUUGCAUUUGUGAAGAUGAAAGGAGAAAGAACAUGGGUGCUUUUGAUGAAGUAAAAUCAGUCCCUCAUAUGUUUACAUUUAAUUACAAGAUUACUCUGUUUUUCCACAGAAUUCCUACCUCAUGCAGGAGGCACAUAAUGAGUAGCUAUUAAAUACAUUGCUUUACCCUUAUCAUAUGUGGCCCAAAGCCCUACUUACUGCAGACGUUUUAUAUUCUUGUCCAAAGGCAGAGUUAUUCAUUUCUUCGGAAGUUUUUGUAAUGCCUGUUUCUCUAACUUUUUCAACAAUGCAAAUUCCAGUGUUUCCUAACUUAAAGUGCAGUCUUAAUAUUCUUUUAACGUCAUUGUGUAUAAUUAUAGGUAUGCAUGUGUAUUUAUACGGUGUAAUGUGAACGAACAAAUAGGUGUAUAUAAAGGUUCUUAAAACUUUGUUCUGUAAGCUGUGAGAAACACAAAGUUAUGUGAGGGCACAAAGAGCUCUAAUAGUGACUGGCAAGAAGAGAAAGCAAAGAUAUUCUGUACUAUUUUUAACCAUUGUGUUACAUCAUGCAAUUUUGCAGAGAUUAGUCACCAUAUCAAAACGUUGAUGGAAAUAAUAGUGAAAAGGAGUUGGCGAACUUCAAACGCAUAUGAGGUAACUCUGUAAGAGUUACAAAUGACUUCUGGCAUUUUAAGGUGAAAUGGAAAAACUACAGCCAUAAUACCUCUUUUCUGAUGUUUAUUAUUAUUGUUGUUGUUUUAUUUUAUUUUUAAUACCUCAUUGCAAUAUGAUGAUAUAAGUGGAAAUUUUAUGGGCAUGUACAGGAGUUGGAUAGAGUAGAAUUGCAUCAGUUACUGUCAAGUAGUUUUGUCAUUUUAAGUAUUUUCACUUGUGUGGUCCCAAGCGGCCAGGGCCCCUUGCUUGUGAGUGCCCAAGGGAGGAACAGUCAAGAGUAUGAUGAGCUGAGCUGUUUCCAGUAGUGAGUUCCAGGAACUGCUCUGUGUCAAAUGUCUUUGUCAGUUAAAAUGAAAGGCAAGGGGGAAAAAAAAGAACAGUUUGGACAUAUCUUUUUUUCUUUCGAGAGCAAAAUAGUUUCAACAAAUUUGAAUGGUUCAUUUCUAGAAAAUUACUGCCCUGCAUCUUAAUUAAAUUACUUGAUUUGUCUAUCUUACUUCACAUAUCCAACACUUACAUUUAUUUGCUGUUUUUUUUCAGUGGGGCUAAAAUGAAUGGAAACAAAUAAAGCACAACACAGGAACAGUGAGGAAGUAGAUGAAACCUGGUCAUGAGGAUAUGAAUUAUUAUUGAACUCAGCAAAAGUAUAUGCAAGUACGCAUAUAGUAACAACUAUUUUCAUUAGAAUUGACAUAAGAUGAAGAUAAAAUUUAUUUAACAUGUUCAGUUUGUGAUGAAAGACCAAUCCCAGCAUUUGUUGUUAGAUAAAUAUUAAUAGGAAUGUUGUUUGAAGCAGAAAAAAAAUAGCUGAGGAGCAAAAAUGUAUCUAAUAGGUCCCUUUUUCAGUGAAGAUUAUAAAAUAAAGACGAAUACAGAGUAUAUGCAUGUUUAUAACUUACACAGUGCUUCAUAAAAUCAAAGGUUAAGAACUAGUUUAUACGCAUUUGUCCUCAUGCAUUAACAACUCUUUAACUGACAAAAUAUGAGCAAUAUUCAAGUGCUAUUUUGUUUGGAACAUUAGCUUCCAUUUUAUUUAUUGUCCCCAUCAUUGAAGAAGAUGGUGAUCAGUAUGUUCAGUUAAGUUUUGUGUGAUUUUGAGGUCACAGUUUGACAAUUGGUGUAAACCAGCUGAAGCAUUUUCUGCUACUGUCCCACCACUUUUCUGCUCCAGGCUGUGGGUUAUAAUGCCUUUUUCUGGCACCACCAUUCAUACAGCUGUGUAAUUGGUUGGCUCAGAGAGCUGAUCUGCCUGUAAAGUAAUUAAUUAAUUUUGCUAGUUUUCAACUGAAUAGAAUCAAUCCAUCUGAUUCCAGCAAUCCAGUGCUGGAACAAAGGAGGGGCCAAGGAUUCAAGGAAAUAAGGAGAACUCUUCCUUUCGGUGGCAGCGUAGGAUGUGGACUGUGAAAUAAACUAGUUGUGAAACUGCGCCUGAAUUGUGAUGAACUGCAUGCUCUAGAGAGGAUGGGGAAAUAAAAAAUGAACUAGCAAAUUGUAAAUGAGUACUUCAUAAUCAGUGGAAGUACUUGUAGGAAACAAAACAUUCAGUUCUAUUUGUCAUGGAAUGAAGAGGAAUUAUUUCUUCUCCAUGAGUCUAAUCCACUUCUCUUAAAAAUCUGUAGAAAAACCAUCGUGUUUUCAGUGUAAGGUGGAUCAAUUCCUGUUUGAUGGUAACAUGGUUCAAACUGAAUGGCUAACAGAAAAAUGACAGUGAGAAGUUUGCCAAAGAAAAACUUCAUUACUGAAUAUUCAUUAAUGAGUGUAAUGAUCUUAAAUUAUUUAAAACGGAAACUAUUAACGAAUCAUAUAAUAAGGACAAAGUAUAAUAUGGCUUGCUGCUUGAAAAAUAUGCUUUAAAGGUUGGGUUUGGUUAUUUUUUUUUUUUUUUUCAUUUUACUACUAGAGGUCUGAUAACUUUGUUGUCAGUGUUACUUACGUAUCCUGGUCAAAUACGUGCUGUAACUUGCUUAAAUUCCAAUUUCUGAUAUGAAUACUUUUGGAAGGCACAUUUUAAUUUUGACUUUCACUAAUAACUAAGUUUAAAAUUGAUUCCCUGAUCAUAGUGGCAGUACUUGCUGAGAUGAAUGCAGUAUGGGUACAAUCACAAUUAGUUAAUUUCUACAUUGACUGUAUCCUCAUGCCAGUAGUGAGAUGAUAGCAUUUAUUUAUUCUGGAGAACUACAGCUUGCUGGUAAGCACCAAAUUUCCAGAAAUCUUGGAGAACGCAAUAAAGAGACUAGGCUACAGAAAUUAUUUAGAAGAUAAAAUUAUAUGUUUUCAAUACAACUAGGCAAGUAAUUUGCUUUCUUGGCAAAGAUUCUGUGAGAUAAUAUUAGGAUUUUCUCUCUCAUUUAGCUAGUUAGGUGAUGGUCAGUGGCUAUAUCUUGCUGGCCAUGUCACCUCCUUUCUCCUCUUUUCCUUAUCCCACCUCCCAAGGAUGCACUACUAUCACAAGUGUGUUAGGCAUCCAGAAUUAGAUUUAUAAAAUCCUCUGGUCUUCUGAGUUGCUUUUCUCACAUUCAUAUGAUUCUUCCCUGCCAACUUAGUCUUCUGUCCUCCACCCACCACUGUUUUGAUUCAUUUCCCUCAUGACGCGUGCCUAAAUAUUGCCCAACCCAUGUGGAAAGUCCUUAAUUCUUGUCAAGACAGGGUCAUGACUAGCCCACCCAGGAAGAUCAGAACCAAAGCUCCCAAACUGGGAACAAGGCUUGCCCACUAGUAUAAAAGCCAUUAUUCCCCCAUGGUUAUCCAGCUUUCGUUUAGCAGACAGCUUGAACAGAGGCACAGAAGGUAUGUGUUAGAAGAGAUGGGAUAGAGCAGGAAAUAGCAAUAGAUCUAUCAGGGACAUGAAGGGGAAGAUGGGAACUGCACAAGACACAAAUGGAGUGGGAAGACUGAGUAUAAGAUGGAAUAUAAGAGAAAUUCUGCUGAGGUUAGAGGUAUGGGACAGAAAUGGCCAGUGGGUGAAUGGGGUAGGGAAAACCAGACUUGGUUAGUUAGCCAGUAUGUUUCCCCUUAGUUGUGUCUGGUCAUUUGAAGGAGCUGGAGAAAAGAAACUUGGCAGAGGACCAGCAGGCCACCUACUCCAGCUUUCUUAGUCUCACUGGGGAGGCUUGAAUUGAAAAGAAUUACUGAGUAGACUGAGACAGUACUUAGUUGUGGGACAGGCCCACCCUAAGUUCUGUGAUGCAUUUGGCCACCUCCAUUGAAGUCUGUGAUGAGUACUGCCUUUGGUCCAUUUGCUAAUUUAGCUGUACGUCCAUGUUGUCAGUCCACACUGUCCAAUCCAUAGUCAGUAGGAUACUUAGAAAAUUUAAAAAGCUAGUAAAUAAUGAGAGGAACAAAUCAAGUUUCUCAGAGAUUUGGAACACUGAAAUCUGACCAUCUGAGAAUUUGCAGGAAAUUUUCAUACAUUUUGAGGAUGGUGUGGACAUGGAGCAGGACUUCAACAAACUCUAGAGAGCUCCAUUAACUCCAUCUCUGCCUUUCUCAAAUGGUAGUAGACAUAUGGUAUGAAUAUAAUUACCAUCUCAAAUACUGGCCUCUGUUUUACAUACACCUGUGUCCCUUUUCUAGAAUAAGUGUACAGUCUAUUUCCAGCCCAGUCUUGAGAUACACUUGAGCCAGACAGUUCACCAGUAGCAGACUUCUUUGUUAGUGCUUUCCAUGCAGAGGACAUUUCCAGCUAUUCUGCUACCCUAUAUAUCUGCUCUCAGGUAGAGAAAUGUGAUAUAGAGGUAUUAUUUCCUUGUCACAUUUUAUUAGACAGUAGCUUUCAUUACCUAUCCUUAGAGUUUGAAUGUACCAUCCACCAGAAAUGUUCUUCACAUGCUUUCCUGGAAACGAGUGGUAGGAGGCAGUGGUCACACUGGGAAAGCUGUCGUUGUUAACUUGAAUCUUUUUGCACUACAUAAGAUAGGCCAAACUGUGACUACAUACACCCAUGUUCUUUUGCAGGUGUGGCUCUUGUUACCUGAAAGAGAACACUUAUCAAACAUGGGAAAAACACAGAUCUAUGGUCUUGAUCUUUCUUCUUACACAUUUUUCCACCUUGUGGAAUGAAAAUGCCAUUUUCUGGAAUUCAGUCAUCACAGUGGACAUUACGUAGCACUGCAAUUCCUUGUUCAAAGACAGUUACAUCAUUCCAGUCAGACUAUGGUAUUUACUCUUUUUUGUGUGUGUGUGUACUUUGUCCUAUGGCAUCUUGCAAAGUACCAUAAGUUCCUAGGACAUCUUUCAAAGUCUUUGACUUUUAUGAUGAUUGUCAUGCCAAGUACAAUGAACUGGAGCAGAUGGUCCUAAAUACAUGGCCCUCCUACAUGACUUCUUUUGACUUAGAGCAGUCAGCUAAGUGGUAUGUCUGGCUGCGUAGCGGCUAAUCUCAGUUUCCUGUCUUUGUUACUGGACUUUAGUUUGAGUUUUGGUAGUUGUUAGUGGAGGUUGUUCUUAGGAGUUUGUGUAUACAUAAAUUUCUUUCAAGAAACCUCUUACAUGACUGACUGACUAGACCAGAAAUCUGCUUGUUUCCUCUCAGAGCUUACUGCCUAAUCCUUCAAUCCAUAUGCAGUUGCUUCAGGGAAGGAACGUCAGAAACCAGAGUAAGGCAAGUAUGUGUGUAAGAACUGCGUUUUCUAGAAGUAAAGGCCUAGGGAGAAGAUAGAGUACCCAUGGCUUUGCUCAGGAGGAGUGAAGGGCUAUGUCUCUCUCAAUUGACCAGUGAAACAGCCUGGGAGUCAGUCUCUGGUGAUGAUUCAUAUCUUCAAACUGGAAGACUGAAAUUAAUUGUGGGUAGAGAAAGCGGAGAUUUACUUACCAGUUAAGAAAUGGCCUAGUGGCUUAUCUUAAAAGACUGUCAUAGUAUAUGAAUUUAUAUUCUGUUCAAAUCAUUGAUUCAGAUUAUCUCAACUCCUCAAAUCCUAGCUGUACAGUUAUAAUGCAGCAAGCAUACUUUUUAAUUAUGAUGUUUUAGAGAUUGCAACCUAAGAUGAACAACAGGGUUGUUCAUCCUCAUAUCAUCUCCCACAGAGGUGGCAGAUGUAACCGGUGUGAAGAUGCAGAUUCUUGGUAGAGUUCCUAAUGUCAACAUUUUUGUUCUGGGCUAUACAUGCAAAUUGCGUUUAGAGGUAUGUGGAAAGUUGUUUGCAUAACACCUCUUGGCCACCAAGAGGGACAAUCCCAAUAUGGAUGCAUUCAGUAGAAUUUCCACAACAUGCAAAGUUUUGUGAUACGUGGACAGAUAUUUAGGGAAAAUGUUUUGCAGCACUUUCACAGAGUGAUAAUCUGGCAAAACAGCAAUUAAAUAUAGAAGUUAAUUAUAACAUACUUAGUACUGUAAUGAUGAGUAGUAACUUAAGAAUAAUGAGCAGAAGGUUGAUGUGAUAAUGUUUGAUAGAGCAGAAUGCAUGAAAGAUGAAAAUAUCUGGGAAACAAUAAAAUGCUUCCUAAAAUCCCAUAGGAAUUAGGAGAAAUCCCUUGGCUCUGGUCUAUGCAUGGCAGUGUAAGUGAGCUGAAGAAAACAGUUCUGAAUGGACAAGGGCUGGAUGAGGCAACCUGGAAACUGCCAGCCUUUAGUAUCCUGUAACAAACAUGUAAUGCACCGAUACUAGUAGGAACUGAAAUAAGAAGAAAACAUACUACAGCCAUUAAUAACUGACUCAUCUCAGCUAAAUGUUGAAACAGAAACUUAUGUAGAGUUAAGACUAAUGGGCUUGACCAGUGUUUGUGGCAUGCUCACUGAAAACACCGAAAGAACGUCAUUCUCCUUCGUUGCAGAUAUCAGUGGUGUGAUUGGUUUUUAGGUUUUUUGUUUUUUUUUUUUCCUGUCUCUAAUGUAUUUUAGCCUAGAGCUAAAUUAGCCUAGAGCUACAUAUCCUAGUCAUAGAAUAGAAUAUGUAUAUAAUAUAUAGAAAAUAAUGUGUCAUAGAAUAACACAGCACAUACCAUGUGCUGUAGCUUUACACUCGUUAAUUCUUACUCCAAAGUAAUACCAACUGAACUAUAUGAGGCAUUACUUGCUACAGUUCUAGGAUAUCAGUGUAUUUUCUUGCAAGCACCAAUACUCAGGACUUGGACUGUAUUUGGCCUCUGUAUGGGAACUGUUGAGUCACGGCCUGAACCUCUGAUUGACCACCUGAGGCAAGCACUGAGUCAGCUGCAGGGGCACAGGUGAACGCAAUUUCACCUGAGUGACCGGAAGGGGUGGAGCCAGGCUGCACCCCUCCUAGACCCCAUUUAAGGGCUGACUCCCAAGGAGGAAGGAUCUCUAUCUGGAGAUCACUCCUCUUGGAGCCCUUCUGUGAGUCUAGGACACAGGUAAGAUCUUUAUUUAAUUAUUCCUUUGUAAUGCAAUAAUUUCUCUGGUUCUAUACCUGUUUGCC